AUUUUUGUAAACUCAGUUUUUUAAGCUAGGAUGUUUAUUUACGUUGAUCUAAUGGAAUGAGUCGAAGAGAUUUACUUUUGAGCCAACACUGAGGAAGGGAAGAUGAUGGGAAUUAAUAAUGAUAUGCAUUUGGCAGAAAGGGGUGUCGGAAUUAUCACCACAUUAUCAACAUAGUAACAUGAAUUUGACGGCUGGACCGUAACGGGAUAUACAAAAAUAGCAUUGGGUUGCAUGUGUGAAAGGAGUAUGUUGUAGGAAUAGUUUAAGACAACUCAACAAGAUUUUAACCCAGUACAUAGCUUAAUGGUGGCCAAGGCCAGGUUUGUUUUCUUUUUGAUAUAUU